rnacentral:sRNA from 1 species
GCAUAGCCACAUAAGGAAUAGGCCUAAAGACACCUUGUGAGCAUGUUUAUUAAAAUCAGGCUUGAUGCUUAUUUCUAAGCAAUAAACUAAGAAAAUAUCAGAGAUCUUGUCAGAAAAAAAGAUGUAAUAGCCUUUACUUUAGUAGUCUCCAUGUCAAUUGAACUGAAAUUGCUACCAGUAAACAGUCAUUGAGGUGGAAUCUACCUUGCUUUUUUUUAUUAGGUUGCCGGGGCCUAUUGUAAGACGUGGUCCUACCGAGAGGACGCACUGCUUGCCUUGUCUAAGAAGUUGAUGGAAAUGCCUGUUGGAACCCCAAAAGAAGAUUUAAAGAACACACUGAGAGCAUCCGUCUUUCUCGUUAGAAGAGCCAUAAAGGACAUUGUGACCUCCGUUUUUCAGGCUUCUUUGAAAUUGUUGAAAAUGAUCAUUACACAAUAUAUUCCUAAACAUAAGCUGAGUAAACUUGAAACAGCUCACUGUGUGGAGAGGACCAUUCCCGUUUUGCUCACCAGAACUGGAGAUUCUUCUGCCCGCCUCCGCGUCACAGCUGCAAAUUUUAUUCAGGAAAUGGCCUUGUUUAAAGAAGUUACGUCUCUCCAAAUUAUUCCAUCCUACCUGGUGCAGCCAUUGAAAGCAAACUCUUCAGUUCACCUGGCAAUGAGUCAGAUGGGCCUCCUGGCCCGGCUGCUGAAAGAC